UUUUUCUAAGGAGACCUUAACUGGGAUGG
rnacentral:piRNA from 1 species